AUACGGAGGAUGCGAGCGUUAUCCGGAUUUAUUGGGUUUAAAGGGUGCGUAGGCGGUUUUUUAAGUCAGCGGUGAAACGCAAGGGCUCAACCCUUGACCUGCCGUUGAAACUGGAGGACUUGAAUGCGGAUGCUGUGGGAGGAAUGUGUGGUGUAGAGGUGAAAUGCAUAGAUAUCACACAGAACACCGAUUGCGAAGGCAUCUCACAAAUCCGUGAUUGACGCUGAGGCACGAAAGUGUGGGGAUCAAACAGGAUUAGAUACCCUGGUAGUCCACACUGUAAACGAUGAUGACUCGCUGUCGGCGAUAUACAGUCGGUGGCCAAGCGAAAGCGAUAAGUCAUCCACCUGGGGAGUACGACCGCAAGGUUGAAACUCAAAUGAAUUGACGGGG
rnacentral:rRNA from 1 species